UAUGAUGAUAAAGGUAAUGAACUUCUGAAUCAUACUAAGCUGAAGCAGCGAAUGCCAGUAACUACCACUCGCAAGGCCUGGAGGCUGAGGAAGGUGCUCUCAGAAACACGGGAUCUUCAGUAACAUUCUCUAAGUCUGAUCUACUGGAAAGGCAGACAAAUAGAAGGAUCACCUGGCAAUUCAAUCACAAGUUCUUGAGAGACUGAUUGUCAAUCACCCAUGUCAUGCGUUCAAAUCAACUCUUGAUCCUCUCCCCACUUGCAGACUACUUUGGAUCAUUGUUCCUGACUCAGCACCCACUGCCCAGUUGUCUUUGAUGCAAACCCAGAAUUUGGAGUUACCUGAAAAGACUUUAAUGCCCCCAUUUAGAUUGGCUGCUCUGCAUCAUCACACGGAAGAGGUAAGAUGGCCACUGCAUAAGGGUUUUGGUUUACAAAGUCCUAUGAUGAGUUUAUAAUUAUUUACAUCUCAGCUGUCUUAUAUCCAGCCGGGUGUAAGCUGUAAGGGCCUGUUUCAAAGCAGAAGAUUUAUGUUU
rnacentral:lncRNA from 1 species